ensembl:lincRNA uncharacterized LOC110597800
CAGGAAAGAGAUGUCACCAGAAGAACUAGGAAGUGACUAUCUCUGAAAUUAACAGUAAAUUUCAACACACCACCCAGGCCGCACCUUGGACCCCCUGUCAGGACACUCCAGGAAAGAGAGCAGAGAAUAAGUUGUGCUGCAGAUAAAUGAAAAGUCUGUGAUUUACCAACACAAGAAGCAGAAAUGGAGAUGCAAAGGGAAGAGCCUCUUUCUAAGCUUCUAUUUUCCCUGGGUAGAAAAAAGGACUUUUGGUUGACUUUAUGGCUCUACACCAAGCCAGAAGACAACGUUGCUGUGGGGAGCAGCUGUGCCCUCUCAGGGUUACUCCAUGAUGCACAGAACAGCAGUUCUCUGACAGUCCUAAGCCAGGGUGGCUCGGUUUCACAAAGCAGUAGUUUUCUGUAGGCGACUCCAUUUUGAACUUCAGUGCUGCAAUGGAAUGAUUGACACCUUAUUUAUGCAGCUAAACAACCAUCAUCUGUAUGGCACAAACUGAUGAAUGAAUUAAUUGUGCCAAUAAAAAUGACCACCAUGAUGCUAUCCAAUUAAUUAGAAGUACCUGGACUCAUAGGUGUGAUGAACUCAUUGGAAAAACAAGAUCCCUGAGGGGGAAGCACCAGACCGCUGGAUGAAGCAAUACCUCGACGGAGGCCUGUAAAAGGAGCAGCAGUGUCUGGACGUGGUGGCGCCCUGACACCAUCACCUGCUCAUGCACCACCAGUCUCACCCAGGAAGAUCGUCACAGCAACAAACUUCUGCAUCUUUGUCCUCAGGCUUCAGUGGAGCCUGGUUGUUGCCCCUGAUGAUGACCAUGCACGACCCACUCAAGGCUGCUAUUCCAAGCUGACACUCCAAGCUGACACUGUGAAACUGCCAUCUGUCCAGAUCUUGUCCUAGAAUAGCUUCCUGUGCUUUGAUAGCUCUGCACCUGAACAAGUUCUUCAGCUGGAUGGUAUCUUACCUGACCACCUACAAUUUGCAUGUGUCUGCUCUCUGCCUUGACUCUCAGGUCAGGUUCCUGAAUGCCUGUGGCUGCCUUAACCCUUUCUUAGCCUUUCUGUAGUAUCUAUCUAUCUAUCUAUCUAUCUAUCUAUCUAUCUAUCUAUCUAUCGUCUAUCUAAAUUGUGUAAAGUGUGAAAUGUGACUUGAGUGCUAUAGAAUAUUAGAAAUUAAGACUGGAAUAAAAGAACUUGUGAUUGACUAGCACAUAACUACCAGAUGACCCACAGUGUUCAGUGAAUUUAUUGUUAUUCAAUAACUUCUGACAUCAUCAAAGAAAUAUCUGUGUUUGAUCUAUGUUAAUGUCAUAGCUCACUAGUGAUAGUUGUAAUGGAGUAGUUUAGGCAGGUCUUGAACUCAAACAACCAAACCCAAUCCUUGGCUCUUGUCCACCUUGAGUUUCCUGUUUUGUAAGACAAGAUAAAACCUUCACCCUUCCUGCCUCUUGUGGUUACCAGGAGCUUUCAAUGGAAUGUUGUAAACAGCACUGAUGUACCACACAAGCCUUCCUGGUGGGAUGUAAUCAGAACAUAAUUAUACUUUGUUCUCCAUGACCUCUAAUUAGAUGCAUUUCUUGGGGGCUGGUUGUUCUUUCACUGAAUGAAAACUUGAUUGGCCCCGUGGCAUUCCUGCCCACUUUAUGCCAAAAUUAAUGUCAAUUCAAUCACUAAGAGUGCCUGGUCUAUAUAAUGAUCACAGCAUCAAGCUUGAUCCACAAAUAAAACUUCUCUGCAUCCCCACAGCUAGGGCCUUUGUAAGGAGGUACCCAAAUCUACUUCCAUGUUUUGAUGAGCUGCUGGGAAGACCUACGGGAUUCAUCCUAUGAUGACACUCCUGAUGAUUUAUUAUGGUAAAAAGAUACAAAACAAAAUCAGCAAAGGGGACAGGGCAUGAGACAGUCUCAGGAAAACAGACAUGAAUGUCUGUAGUCUGCUGCUAAUGGAGCGAGCAGUAUAAGCCCAGUUCCUCCAUCUCUGAGUUGUGACCACACACGUGGAAGGUUGACAAUGGAGCUGCUUGUCAGGAAGCUCAGCAGGAGCAUCUUAUUGACAGCCCAUCACGCAGGCACACCCUGCUUUACGUAUGCCGAAACUCCAGACUCCCAGGAGGAAAGCAGGAACUCAGCAAAAAGCACUCUCUACACAGUUUAGGUGCAGUAAGCUAUCCUAUCAGUGAGAGAGAGGGGAAAUCUUCUGAAAUCCACAUUUCCAACGCCAGCCUAAAGACCAACCUUGUGCAGGACCCUUUCUAAGGAAAAGCAGUCAGCCCACUAGGUGACCUCUAAAGGCUAGUUGCCUUCAGUGCAAAAAACAAAAAUGCACCCUCCUCUGUUUCUUCAGCAUCUCCUUCCAGCCACCAAGUCACCUAGGGUACAGAGGCACUGGAGGAGAGGGGAGCGGGGAGGAGCGGGAAGAUUCUUAACUUUGCUUGGAUGCCUGGGUCUGGCAGGUGGUUCAAGGUUGGCCCCGUGUCUCACUGGCAUUCCGGUGUGUUCUUCAGAUUUGCCCCAGAUUUAGCAGGACUUUCUGCAAUGUGGUGACACAUUUUGGGCAGAGGUGGCUUCUGAGUCCCUGAUUUUUCAGGAGACAACUACACAUAGACUUUCAUCUAUGCCACCCUGCUCCUGAGUGUCCCUCCUGGACAGGAUUUAACAGCUGCAAACGAUCUCUCAAUUGUGCGCAGCCGGCAUCUGGCUUAUGGGGAACACUUGGCAUUUGUGACCCAAUAAACACCCUGGGAGUCCACGGCCCAGUGCAGUCACCUCUCCUUGACGGCAGCGGCCUGUGCGGCCAGCCAGCCUUCUUCUCCCUUUCGGGUCGCCAGCUGUUGCUACAGCUGCAGAGGCACAGCAGCAGGCUUUCUAGAGACCCCACUGACGCAUUUCUUCUCACUUGAGGGAAAGAGUGGAGCGCACUCUUCCUUCACCAUGGCGACUGGGGUGGGGGGUCAGGGAAGAUGGAGGAGCUCACGGCCCUCAGCAGCUCUCUCCAGAAAUUACUUCUAUAAAUACUCCAGGGUUUUCUGUCAAAACUCACUUUGAUAUCUAAAAUCCUGGAGUCAAUCCAAGUUUCAAGGUAUCUGACGUUUAUAUAAUUUGGGAGAAGCGCUUUCUUCGCACAUCAAAUAUAAAAUUAUAAUCUGAAACU